CACACGGAAAAAAACACCUCCCAAAAUAUAUGAAUAUGCCUGGGAAGCCCAUUUAAGGCUAUACAGUGACCUGUAGCUGUGUACAUAUGCUCUACCUUUAGGUCUUUAUUUAAGUAUAAAAGUAUUAACAAAAAUACCAAACUCUAGUUCAAACAGCUAGGGAAAGUUCAUAAAAAACUAACAAAACCAAUUUUUAAAAACUUUAUCAACCAACAGAACGAAUUGAAUAAAUGACAUACUCCUGACUUAGUACGG
rnacentral:lncRNA from 1 species